rfam:Paenibacillus sp. Y412MC10, complete genome.
UUCGGAUAUCAUACAUUUUCUCGUAUAGGUGCAGGAAUCGGCCUGCAUGUCUCUACCCGAUCACCGGAAAUGAUUGGACUACGGGUUAUAGCAGCAGCGGA